UGAGGCAGGAGAAUUGCUUGAACCCAGGAGGUGGAGGUUGCAGUGAGCCGAGAUUAUACCACUGUACUCCAGCCUGGGUGACAGAGUGAGACUCUGUCUC
rnacentral:miRNA from 1 species